GUACGAUUAGCUCAGUUGGUUAGAGCACUGGCACGUAACGCCAGAGGUUGUGCGUUCGAGUCCCGCAUCGUACA